CGACGCCCGGAGAAACUGUCAAAAGUUUACGAAGACAAACAUCAAAGUGUAACGAGAAAUUUUCCCGCGUUCAAAAUCGUUCGGGUUCUCUGUAAUAAUGCACGAGUUGCGCGCACACGCCGCACGGCCGUACGUAUAAAAGAACGCGUUCGUGCGGCGUACACGUAAUGCCCGAAAAACGCAUUCGUCUUGUAAUACGAAACGGCGCACUUACCAUGUGUAUUUCGUUUUA